AUUGAACGCUGGCGGCAGGCCUAACACAUGCAAGUCGAGCGGAGCGGCGGACGGGUGAGUAAUGCCUAGGAAUCUGCCUGGUCGUGGGGGCUAACGUCCGGACACGGGCGCUAAUCCCGCAUCCUAUCAGAUGAGCCUAGUUGGGAUUAGCUAGUGGGUGGGGUAAAGGCCUACCAAGGCGACGAUCCGUAACUGGUCUGAGAGGAUGAUCAGUCACACUGGAACUGAGACACGGUCCAGACUCCUACGGGAGGCAGCAGUGGGGAAUAUUGGACAAUGGGCGAAAGCCUGAUCCAGCCAUGCCGCGUGUGUGAAGAAGGUCUUCGGAUCGUAAAGCACUGUAAGUUGGGAGGCGGUACCAACAGAGUAAGCACCGGCUAACUUCGUGCCAGCAGCCGCGGUAAUAC
rnacentral:rRNA from 1 species